UAAGACCAUCAUUAUUGGUGGUCUUUAGGGCCAGCCCUUAUGUUUUUUGGGUCAAAAAUAAAUCAAAAAUCAGUAAGGCCAUUCCAAACGGGCCUAAAAUAAGGGCUCAUUUCUUUGGUCCUUAAGGCAACGUGGCAUAACGUGAUUGAGCCUAAAAUAAGGGCUUCUAUGUCUGCUCUCGUUCUCUUGUCGCCUCCUCUUCUCGUCGACUCGCGAUCAUCCCUGAUCAGAGUCACUCUUCUCUUCCUGUUCCGACCUUACACACAAGUAGGGUUACGUUUGCAGAGGUACUACUACUUAUUCAUUGAAGAAGAAUUCUCCGGUUUGGGGACAUCACCUCUAUCACCACACCACCUCUGUUGUUGAGGUUUCCACUUUACCCCUCCCUGUAUUUACUUACAACAUUAUUUCCAUUGAAUCAUCAUGUCAGGAUGAGCUUAUACUUUGAUCCUCUCUUGUGGAAGAAGAAAAAAACCAACUGUUUGAUUUUUUUUUUAUUGUUUGUUUCUCAUCUGAUUGAGAAUUUGGUUAUUUUAAAAUGUAAUUUAUAAAGUUUCUAUGAAUUGAAUAAAAUGUUUGUUUCCUUUUUUUUA